CUUUCUUUGCUGGCGACCGGCGCACGGGUGAGUAACACGUAUCCAACCUGCCCUUUACUCGGGGAUAGCCUUUCGAAAGAAAGAUUAAUACCCGAUAGCAUAAUGAUUCCGCAUGGUUUCAUUAUUAAAGGAUUCCGGUAAAGGAUGGGGAUGCGUUCCAUUAGGUUGUUGGUGAGGUAACGGCUCACCAAGCCUUCGAUGGAUAGGGGUUCUGAGAGGAAGGUCCCCCACAUUGGAACCGAGACACGGUCCAA
rnacentral:rRNA from 1 species